rnacentral:rRNA from 1 species
GUCGAGAAUAAUUCACAAUGGGGGCAACCCUGAUGGUGCAACGCCGCGUGGAGGAUGAAGGUCUUCGGAUUGUAAACUCCUGUCAUCCGGGAGCAAGACCUGGCCGUGAAUAGCGGACAGGGUUGAUAGUACCGGAAGAGGAAGGGACGGCUAACUUCGUGCCAGCAGCCGCGGUAAUACGAAGGUCCCGAGCGUUGUUCGGAAUCACUGGGCGUAAAGGGAGCGUAGGCGGCGCGGUAAGUCAGAGGUGAAAUCCUAGGGCUCAACCCUGGAACUGCAUCCGAUACUGCUGUGCUUGAGCAAUGGAGAGGUAGCCGGAAUUCUCGGUGUAGCAGUGAAAUGCGUAGAUAUCGAGAGGAACACUCGUGGCGAAAGCGGGCUACUGGACAUUUGCUGACGCUGAGGCUCGAAGGCCGGGGGAGCGAAAGGGAUUAGAUACCCGAGUAGUCC